CUUGAAUGGAUAAACUCUGAUACCAUAAUAGAAUUUGAGUUAGGCUGAACUGAAAUUCUAAGAUGGUAUCCGAGACUAUUCAACAUCAAUUGAGUCACCUUCUAUCGGGCGACUCGAGUCACACUCCAGAUGUCUGGUGCUGAGUUUUAGGGUGUGUGUGUUAAGAGUUUUAUAUUGGAUGAGAUAUGACUUGAAAAUGAGGCUACAAGUGGAAGACAUCUCUAACUUUACAAGUUGGUUUUGUAGAGUUGUGUUAGGUCCAACCAAAAUUCUAACUUAUCACGAAUAUUCACUAGUUAAUUUAUGUGGAAACUUUGAUGUGAUUGUCCAUUUUACUCUUUUGAAUCAAUUAGUUACAUUAGCCCUUGAUUUUGUUGCCUGCUUCGUUGUAUGAUUUGUUGGGCUAUGAACCAUACUCACGGUUACAGGAGCAUGACACAAAGCAAGUGUGAACAUGUGUGUGUGAUCCUUUCAAAUUGAGAAUCUCCUGGUUAACUAUAAGCUUAUGAAGGGACAAAAUUCAAUCAGCUUUGUUAUUUUUCUUCUCAUCUUACAGACAGAAAUUGUGCAUGAAAAGGUCUCAUGCAGUUACCAGAGUCUAAAUUUCCUGAUCUGGUGUGUGAAGGGGAUUAUGAGAGGGAAUGCAUUUGAGAGAUAACGGAAGAAAUUUAGUGAUAAAAGAAAAUAUUUAACUGAAUGAGAAAAUAUACGGCAAUUAUAAUUUUAUAUCGACACAGGCAAUUAGAAAGUUAAUUACACUCUUUUCGAUUUCUUUUAUCAAGUAAUCUAGUGACUAAAAGUUCAUCCUUAAAGGUGAAUAAAUGGAGAAUUUAGAGUUUGAACGCUGAUCAUUACAUAUACGGUCAAACUAUUAUUGUAAUCAAAUUAUAUUUAAUUUAGAAACAAAAAUCAAAUUUUUAUUCAUAUUAAUGGUGGAAAAAAAAAAUGGAACAUUCAUUCAUUCAUGGAUAUAAAUAAGGCAUGCACAUUCUUACGUGGAUAUGUCCAAUGAAAUCUCAAUAGAUAAGAGCUUACCAUCAAACUCCAUUUCUUGGAUUGACAUGUGCUUAUGUUGACGUCACAUGCAAUUUUUCAACGGAUUCAUCAUGAAAUUUAUUCCAUAUGCUUAAUGAGUUCACACUUGCAUAACCUAAUAAUAAUACUAAGCUUCAUUUGCCAAAAAAAAAUAAUUGAAAAAUACUAAACUUCAUGGUAAAGUCCAAUAAGUGGUGUGGUGUACACAUUCAAGAAAUCCUGUUUUCAUAAAAAAAGUGAAUAUUUUAAUUUGAUCUCUCAUUGUUCAUUUAGACAAAACAAAUAAAAAUAUCAAAUUAGUCUCUUCACAUUUUCGUAUUAAGGGCAAAUUAUUUCAUUCAUUUGUUACAAUGAAUCACAUAUUAAUUUAUCUUAUGCAUAACAAUGUCGACCGAGACUAGUUUGAGUAUUAAUUUGUAAGAGACUAAAUUGAACCAUAACAAAAUUGUGAAGGAUUAUAUAUAUUUACUCUAAAAUAAUAUACUAUAUAAGUAAGCAACAAACUUAUUCUAAUCUAAAGUAUAUACAUCAUAACAGCUAAACAUUAGAUUACCGCACAAAUGCAUCCUUUGUGAUGAUCCUGGAGACCCUUUGUAUCUCUAAAUCUUUCUUACCUCUAGAAUGAAUUACUUCAAGUCCAGACACUCCUCCUAAUUCAUACUAGGGAGUCUCUUCAUCCCCAUAAGCUUUUUCAGUUCAUCAAACAUCGCCACCUUCAAUGGUUUGGUGAAAAUGUUUACAAGUUGCAUCUCUGUAUUUGCAAUACUCCAAAUCCAGCUUCAUCUUAUUUACUUGAUCUCUCAGAAAAUGGAAUUUUCUCUCGAUAUGCUAUCUUUUGCCAUGGCUUAUAGGACGAUCAGCCAAAUCAAUUGCUAACUUGUUAUCAACAAGCAACUUGAUUCUAUCAACUUCAAAUGCAUUCAGUUCUUCCAAUAACAUUUCAAUCCAUAGUGCCUGACAUGCUGCAUAAGAAGUUGCAACAUAUUUAGCUUCAGAAGAUGAUAAAGCUACUAUGCCCUGCUUCUUAGAACUCCAAGAGAUUGGAGCAGCACCAAUCAUGAAGAGGUAGCAUGUAGUACUCUUUUUAUCGUCUUGAUCUCCUUCUCAGUAAGAAUCUGAAUAUCCAUAGAUUGUUGCCUUCUUAUCAGUGUUCCUUUGAUUAGGAAUUAGCACUCCAUAAUCAAUUAUGUCUCUAUUGUAUCUCAAAAUUCUCUUAAAAGCUAUCAGAUGGAAAAUUUUAGGCUAUUCCAUGAACAUACUAACUAAUCCCACGCCGUGAGCUAUAUAUGGCCUUUUGUUGCACAUAUAUCUGAGUGGGCCUAUAAUUUGUCUGUAUAUAGUAGCAUUCAUAGGUUCAUCAUUUGUGUCUUCACUCAAUUUAGCACCUGCUGUUGGAAAUUUAGGUCUUAAUAUAAACAAAUUUCAUAAUACAUGUUCAACAAUUAUGAAUCAAUAGCGGAAGCAAACAAAACAUUGAACAUGAUUAUGAUCGGAUCUACGACAUGUUUGAUUUAUCAAGAUAUUAAGAAUUAGGGUAUUAGGAAUACCUGGAUAAUUGUGUCUUUUAUUGCCAAAAAAAUUAAACUAGACAUUGGAUAUUAUUCCCCAAAAAUAACUACACAUUAGGUACCCUUGUGCAAAAUUGUAAGUAAUGGAAGUAAUAAAUGAAUCUCGUAUAAGUCUUAUCACCUGUUUUUCUGUAACAAUUGUUGCUCCAAUAAUAUUUGUACAUUCAUUUUUCAAUCUAUUGCCAUCGAUAACCUUUUGAUCUAGGAUGAUUAGAAUGUUUGCUUCUGUUGAAUAGCGACUGGUCAGAAGUUGUAUACCUUUUGUUGGUGGCCUAAAGAACUAUUUAUAUGGCCGAUGAUAUGACUGCUGAUGUAGCCAUUGAGGGGCUGCUACGAAUAUGUAACUAUCAGCCGUUGCUUUGUGUUGAUGGUCAGAAGCCUUACGGAUCUGAAGGAUCCUAAGAGUGUGUUUGGAUGGGGGAAUGUUUUGAGGGAAUUAAACUAUUUGAGGUGAGUUCAAACAAUAAAAUUCACCUUGAAGUAGUUGAAUUCCCUCAAAACAUUACUUUCCCUCAAAAUAUUCCCCCAUCCAAACACACUCUAAGCCUUUAGACCAUUGGAGAAGUUGGUCCAGUAGAAUGUGGCUGAAGGUGUAACUAUUGAUGUAUUUGGGCCUAUGCUCGGUCCGGAGCACUUUGGGAUUUGUAUUGACCGAUUUUAGAGUCUUGGACCGGUUCAGAACACCUUUCACCAUGAUUAAGGUAGUGUCAGUGUCACAUGUUAAGUUAAUAUUUCAAGCACCACUCCAAUGCAUAGCACUAACUCUCCAUCUUCUUAAUUUGAUGAAGAACAAUAACAAAACCACAACCAAGGCCUGUAAGUUACACCAUUCCUCCUCGGUAGUUGCAGAAUCCAGGUUCUGCAUAAAUCACACCAAAAUUAAUGCAUUAUUUAUUCCAUGUACAUCAUCAUCACACAUUAAGUUAGCCUCACCCUCUUCAACUAUAAAAUUAGCAACACGAUCGCUGAAUACAUAUAUAUGGUUUUGAUGUUUUUUACUUUCUCUCAUUCUCAUCAUACACAAACACAGGUUUUUUUUUUUUUUAAAAAAAAAAAACCAAAAUAAUUUUAUUAGAUAAACUAAACAUACCACCAAAGGAGUACUUGGGAGUUGUUGUUUGUUUUUGUUGAUGUUGUUUUGUUUGUUCCAUGUGUACAAAACACUACUCAAUGGUUCUGUGUCUGUUCGUGAGCUUGCAUUAAUUUAUUUCCACGGUAACAUUUUGCUAAAUGAUACUAAUCAGGAGUGUGAUUCAUUUUUUCUGUCCUUCUCUUAUUUGAUCCAUCGCUACAAAUUAACAUGAAUAUAACAUGAAAAUUGAUUAUUUUCUCCUCUGGUUUCCUCUCUUUUCUCUGUUAUUUUUGUUUUUUUCUUCAUUAUUGUUUGUGUGAUCUAUGAUCUAGUAUGCUCUGCGUGAAAUUGUUUCAUCAUCUUAAUGUUUCUAGUUCUUGUUGUAUUGAUUUCUAAAUUGUUUUUAGGAUAUGAGGAUGAUUUGUUCUGGCUUAUAGGCUUGAAUCCAUGAUGAUUUUCUCUGCUUUGACUCUUCCUUUUGAUGAUUGAGCUUGGGAUAUGUCAUUUUAGAUUGAUUUUCUAUACUAUGACGGCGUAAACCUUUUUUGUACAAGCGUCCAAUUAAAUCAAGCAAAGUUGAUAAUUGCAGAGAUGUUGUGGGAACUAACUUAAAAUAGUGACAUCAUGAAGUGAUUUGAUUGGAUACAUGUGUAAAAAAGUUUUACAGUGUAUACAAAUCAAAUCCCAUUUUAAUAGAGAUUGAUUUCUAUACUCUGAUUGUGUACAUUUAAAUUUAUUUAUACUAUAAUUACAAAAAAAUGAAAGACAUUGAUACCUUUCUAAUUUUUGCUAGAAAAAAUAGAGUUAACAUAUACCAAGUUACGCGGUAUGCCAUUUUGUGGCAUGAGACGAGACAUCAUGGUAUGAGAUGCUAAUAGUCUCCAGAAAGGGCCUGGCUGAAGAGCUCCCCAACUUAGGCUUGAAAAGGAUGUUUUGGUGGUGUCAAGCGUCAACUAUAGUCGAUCAUAGUUUGGUCCAUUUCUGUCUCAAAACAUAUUGUCACAGUUUGCACUGCUCCUGACACUCAAAUUCCAAUUUAUGCAAACUCCAAGUGGCUUGCUUGGGCCAAAAGCCUUCAGAUAUUCUACCUUUAUCAGCUUCAGAGGUUCAGACACUCGAUGUGAUUUUAGUGGCUUCCUCAAUAAAUAUCUGAUUGAUCGUGGAUUCCGCACCUUCUUCGAUGACGGGGAGCUUGAAAGAGGGACCCAAAUAACGGUAGAAAUUCCUAAGGCAAUUGAAGAGUCCAGGAUUUUCAUCCCAGUUUUAUCAGAAAAUUAUGCAUCUUCUUCAUUUUGCUUAGACGAACUUGUGAAGAUCCUUGAAGAGUUUAAAAAAGGGAAUGGUCGAUGGGUUUUUCCAGUUUUCUAUUACGUUAAUAUCUCUGAUGUGAAGAAUCAAACUGGCAGUUAUGGACAAGCAUUGGCUGUUCACAAGAACCGCGUCAUGCCUGAGAGGUUUGAGAAAUGGAUCAACGCCUUGGCUUCAGUCGCUGACUUUCGCGGCUGCCAUAUGGAAAGGUAGCUAACCAAUCUUUUCCCCUUAAUGUUUAUUUUGUUUUUUUUAUUUCCAUUUGUAUGAAUAAUUUUAUUUUAUUUUUAAAUGAUAAAUGUUAGUUGUUAUAUUUUGUUAGUGACUGACUACUGACUGGGAAGAUGAGCUCACAAUCUUUUUAUCACUCCUUUGUCUGAAUAAUAUUAAUACGAUGUCCUUAUUUAAUUAGAAAAGAAAUCCUAGUGGACCGGGUAUUGCUUAAAUAACUAAUAGAAAUAUUGAUUGAUUGGUGAACGAGUUACCACUUUCUUAGUAGUUAGUUCCAACUCCCUUAAGAGUUUGUUAGUAGGUAUCUCUACUAGCUCUAUAUAUAAAUUAUCUCAUGUACUCAUUUACCAUCUGUUAUCAAUCAAUAUGAAUUCGAAGAAAUUUUUCUCAAUAUUAAACUCUCAAGUUUACUUUUUUAUGAGGUAAAUCUUAACUGUUUCGGAUCCUGUGAUUUGUAACAAUAAUUGUAUGCUAAACAAAUUGAGGAAACCUUGUUAUAUAUAACCAUAAUUGAUAUGAUGCAUUUCUUUGAUUGGGGGGCAGGGCAAGGGGUAUAUAUGAAAUCCGGUACAUAUAUGAGAUUAUUCAAGAGGUCUCUAAACAUGUUGCUUGCUCAAUUGGCCUAGAUCAUCGAGUAGAGAAAGUUAUGCGUUAUUUGAAUUCUAGUGUCAGAUCAGACAAUAAUGGAGUUUGUGUGGUAGGGAUAUGUGGACUUCCUGGAAUGGGGAAAACAACACUUGCUCGUGGAGUUUAUCACUUCGGUGGUGGAACUGAAUUUGACUCUUGUCGCUUUUUUGAUAAUGUGGGAGAGUAUGUAAAGAAACAUGGAUUAGUACAUCUCCAACAGAUGCUUCUCUCUGCAAUAGUUGGACACAGCAACAGUACUAUGUUUGAAAAUGUGGAUGAAAGGAUGUCAAAAAUAAAACAUAUGCUCAACCAAAAGAGGGUCUUCUUGGUUCUUGAAGACGUUCAUGAUUCUGAGGUCUUGAAAGCCAUUGUUAAACUGACUACUUUCUUUGGUUCUGGUAGCAAAGUCAUCAUUACAGCAAUGGAGAAAUGCUUUCUAGAACUUCAUGGCAUUAAAAGAAUAUAUGAGGUAGAAAGAAUGAAUAAGGUAGAGGCUUUUCAAUUGCUUAAUUUGAAAGCUUUUGAUUCUAUGAGCAUUAGUCCUUGUUAUAUGACCGUUUUAGAGGGUCUUGAAACUUAUGCCUCUGGGUAUCCGUUCGUUUUGGAAGUGAUAGGUUCCUACUUGAGUGGGAAAAGUAUGGAAGAAUGUGAAUCUGCAUUGCACCAGUAUAAAGAAAUUUCAAACAGAGACAUCAAGAAGAUACUACAAGUAAGCUUUGACGCUUUGGAGAAAUCUCAGCAGAAUAUGUUAAUUCACAUUGCACUUCACCUCAGAGAACAAGAAUUGGAAAUGGUUGAAAACUUGCUUCAUCGUAAAUAUGGAGUGUGCCCGAAAGAUGAUAUUAGAGUGUUGCUUAAUAAAUCUCUGAUAAAGAUUAAUGAGAAUGGUCAGGUGAUAUUACAUGGCUUAACACAAGACAUGGUUAGAGAUGAUAUUCCAGUAGAAGAUCUUGGCUAAAUUAGUAGGAUACGGUUGUUUGAGGUAAGAAUGAUCUGUAUUUAUAUUUUUAGCCCUAAUAUUUCUCUAUCCACAAUGAAGAAAUUGUUGUUUAAUAAUGUAACUUUGUUUCCAAUGGAGCAGGAGCACGACAAGCGGCAAAUCCAACCUGCCUUCAGUGAUGGAAGCAUGAUCUAGGAUUCAAUGGAAUUGGAAUAUCAAUCAUCAGAGCAUUGAUGUCUUCCUCCUCUUCUCCUGAUGGUUCAUGGUGUUUCUUAGGAUCUACCCCCCUUCUUUGAUGCAUUGAUCUUGUAAUUUGGGUUGCCUCUAACUUAAUUUUACAAAACCAGCUUGUAAGGUAAGAGGUAUCGCUCUUUAUAAACUCUUUUUCGGUCUUCCUUCUAUUCAAUGUAAAACUUGGGUUUUUCCAAUACACCCCUCACACCUAACACUAUUGAGCUUGGUGCGUAGAUAAUUUGAUGAGUGACUUGAAUGGAUAAACUCUGAUACCAUGAUAGAAUUUGAGUUAGGCUGAACUGAAAUUCUAAGAUGGUAUCCGAGACUAUUCAACAUCAAUUGAGUCACCUUCUAUCGGGUUACUCGAGUCACACUCCAGAUGUCUGGUGCUGAGUUUUAGGGGUUGUGUUGAGAGUUUUAUAUUGGAUGAGAUAUGACUUGAAAAUGAGGCUACAAGUGGG
rnacentral:lncRNA from 1 species